rnacentral:rRNA from 1 species
UACGUAGGGGGCAAGCGUUGUCCGGAAUCAUUGGGCGUAAAGAGCGUGUAGGCGGCUCGGUAAGUCCGCUGUGAAAGUCCAGGGCUCAACCCUGGAAUGCCGGUGGAAACUGUCAGGCUCGAGUCCGGAAGAGGCGAGUGGAAUUCCUGGUGUAGCGGUGAAAUGCGCAGAUAUCAGGAGGAACACCAAUGGCGAAGGCAGCUCGCUGGGACGGUACUGACGCUGAGACGCGAAAGCGUGGGGAGCAAACAGG